AUGGAGUUUGGAAACAUGACAGAACUGGAUGCUAUAUUCCUUCAGAAUAACCAUUUGGAAAGGCAGCUGCCAGGUACCAUCUCUCAUCUGGUCAAACUCCAGUAUUUGGAUCUGUCAACAAAUCAGCUGGUAGGUCACAUCUCCCCCGAGUUUGGGAAUAGCAGCCUCCACCAUGUCGAUAUUGCAAACAACAACUUCUCUGGCUUGUUCCCAUCAUCCAUUUGCGUAGGAGGAGCGCUGAGUGUGGUCAGUGCUGGAUACAAUGGGUUUACAGGUAUUUACCGUCAGACAUUUCAAAACUGCACAACCCUGCAAGAAGUUGACUUCACGGCAAACAACAUUGUUGCAGAGCUAAGUGACUGUUUUAGUGAGCAUCCAGGACAGCUAAUCACGAUGGCUUUCCGUCAAAACCAGCUGCACGGCACACUUCUGACAGAUCGAGGUGAGGAAUUCCUUUGCAACUCCACUGAUCUAGUCCUCCUAGACCUAUCAGAUAACGCCUUACAUGGAGGCCUUUCCAAGUGUUUCUGGGAGUUGCAAAGUUUGGAAUUCAUGGAUCUGUCCAGCAACUCUUUCAGUGGUGUAUUUCCGUCCUCGAUGACUUGUGGAGAUGAUCUUAGAUAUCUACUCCUAGGCAAUAACAAAUUUACAGGAACCUUUCCUCUAGGUCUUAAGAAAUGCAAAAACCUUACUACUCUAGAUCUUGGAGGCAAUAAAUUUUCUGGUACAAUACCUUCUUGGGUAAGUAUGAGUUUGCCUGAACUCAACUUUCUUCGAUUGUCAUCAAACAUGUUUGACGGCAUCAUACCCCACGAGAUCUUACAAUUUCGCCAGCUCCAAGUAUUGGACUUGUCCAAAAACAAGCUCACCGGACCCAUUCCAGACGAUUUUAGGAAUUUUACUGGCAUGGCACAAGAACAGCAAAACACUGACUUCACAGACUAUGACAAAUACUCUUACCAAGUGGAAAUUCAUAUAGUUUGGAAGAAUGUGGAUCAUGUUUACAAUUUGAAGAUAGUAGCCGUGGUGGGUAUCGACUUAUCUGGCAACUCUCUUACACUAGAGAUCCCAAAUGGGCUCACAACCCUUGGUGGAGUCAGGUACCUGAACCUUUCAGGAAAUCAUCUGUCAGGUUGUAUUCCUGCGGACAUUGGCAAUAUGGUACUGCUAGAAGCCUUGGACCUUUCUCGGAACCAACUCUCGGGGAAAAUUCCUCAAAGCCUGGCAGCUUUGAAGAGCAUCAGCGUGCUGAACUUCUCGAGCAAUAGUUUGUCUGGGAGGAUACCUACAGGAGAUCAGCUACGGACACUCACAAAUCGGUCCAUAUACAGUAAUAAUCCUGGGCUAUGCGGAUUUCCGUUGGAAGACUGCAUAAACUCCUCAACACCGGCGCAAAUUGAAAAAAGCCUGGAUGAAGAUAGAGAGGCAUUGUGGCUGUAUUGCUUUGUGGCUGCUGGGUUCAUCUUCGGCUUCUGGCUGUACUGGGGCAUCUUCUUGUUUCGCAGCGAGACCUGGAGGUGUGCAUUUUACCAGUAUGUGGACAACAUGCAAGGCAAGGUGACCAAGAAAGUAUACAGCUGCAUCUCGCGCUUCUGGGCCGGCGGCUCUGAAUGA
rnacentral:rRNA from 1 species